rnacentral:misc_RNA from 1 species
AAAAUAAUCCUACCCUUUGUGAAUUUUGUUUGUUUGAAUAAUUUUUUUUUUUAAAAAAUUAUUGGAGUCUUUCCCUUUAGUUUGCUUCUGAGUUUGUAAAAGAAUUCGAAAACAUCUAAAGGGGAUGGUCAAUAAUUUUUUUUGAAAAAAGACAUUUUUUAAAAUUAAACUUUUUGUAUUCAUUUGUCUAAAAAUUAUUUUUAUAAUAUAAAAACAACUUUUGACAAUGGAUCUCUUGGUUCUCGCAACGAUGAAGAACGCAGCAAAAUGCGAUAAGUAGUGUGAAUUGCAGAAUACGUGAAUCAUCGAAUCUUUGAACGCAUAUUGCACUUUUUUAGUUACUAAAAAGUAUGUCUGUUGAGUAUCAGUAAAAUAUUCUCAUAAAAAUCAUUGUAUUUUUAUGGUUAUGAGUGUUUUACAACGAUACAAGUUGUUUCACUUUAAAUUUUUUUUUAAUAUUGAAAUUUUUCUAAUUUUAAUAAUUAAAAUUGGAUAAAAUUUUCCCGUCAAAAGGAAUAACCUAAACAAUUUUAAACGAUUAAUUUUAGCAAAAUUUUCGUAAAAAAGGAAAAUUUUUAUUAAAAUAACUUGAUCUCAAAUCAGAUAAGAGUACCCGCUGAACUUAAGCAUAUCAAUAAGCAGAGGAAAAGAAACUAACAAGGAUUCCCUUAGUAACGGCGAGUGAAGCGGGAAGAGCUCAAAUUUGAAAUCUUCAAGGUUUUACCUUGACGAAUUGUAGUUUAAAGAAGUGUUUUCUGCUGAAGUUUUGGUAAAAGUUCUUUGGAAUAGGACAUCAUAGAGGGUGAGAAUCCCGUAUUUGACCAUUAUUUUCAGCUUUGUGAUACACUUUCAAAGAGUCGGAUUGUUUGGGAAUGCAGUCCAAAAUGGGUGGUAAAUUUCAUCUAAAGCUAAAUAUUGGCGAGAGACCGAUAGCGAACAAGUACCGUGAGGGAAAGAUGAAAAGAACUUUGAAAAGAGAGUUAAACAGUACGUGAAAUUGUCAAAAGGGAAGCGUUUGACACCAGUGUUGUUUUCUCGAAAAUCAAUUAAAAAUGGCUCGAUUUUGUAUUGCUGAGACCUUAAAAGCUCACUGUACAUUUUUCGUGUCUUUUUUAAUGCACUUUUCGUUUAGCAAGUCAACAUCAGUUUCUUUUGUUGUAAAAGGGUCAUUGGAAGGUGGCUUUCUUUUCGGAGAAAGUGUUUAUAGCCUUUGGCCUCUGCAAUCGGAGAGACUGAGGUCUGCAGCGUAGACUCUUCGGGGUUAGAUACAUUUGUGCUAAGUUAUAGCUUUUUAUAGACAACUUGUUGACUAUAAUUAGUCUUGUAGCUUACUCGCUUAUGCUAUUUUACCUAC